UGGGGAAUAUUGGACAAUGGGCGGAAGCCUGAUCCAGCAACGCCGCGUGAGGGAUGACGGCCUUCGGGUUGUAAACCUCUUUCAUCACCGACGAAGGCUCAGCUUUUUGGUUGGGUUGACGGUAGGUGGAGAAGAAGCACCGGCCAACUACGUGCCAGCAGCCGCGGUAAUACGUAGGGUGCGAGCGUUGUCCGGAAUUAUUGGGCGUAAAGGGCUCGUAGGCGGUUUGUCGCGUCGGGAGUGAAAACACCGAGCUUAACUCGGUGCUUGCUUUCGAUACGGGCAGACUGGAGGUAUGCAGGGGAGAACAGAAUUCCUGGUGUAGCGGUGAAAUGCGCAGAUAUCAGGAGGAACACCGGUGGCGAAGGCGGUUCUCUGGGCAUUACCUGACGCUGAGGAGCGAAAGUGUGGGGAGCGAACAG
rnacentral:rRNA from 1 species